GCGCAUGCGCACUAGGUUGGAUUGCUGGGAUGGGCUGUAAUAGGGCAGUCAGUGGAGUUUCGAGCAAAGUGCGCCGGCCGGCGCAUGCGCACUUCGCUAUACGAGGCCGCUGCCAGUAGUCCGCACGGGCGCAUCAGGAUAUACCUAGUGCGCACUUGCGGGAUCUGGAUGA